AGACGUUCCCGGGUCCCGGGGAGAAACCCUAAAUAAAAGAAUCAGGCAGAGUCCAGGCUAUUAUUUUACCGUAAAUCUUGUAAAUUCUGGAACUAAUUACAUAGAGGAUAUGUCUCAAUUUGUUCUGCAUUAAUGCCACUUUGGGAAUGGAGUCGAGGCCAUAACCAGAACAGAUCCUCCAGCUCGUGAAAUUGAUGAACUGAGAGCUGCUUCCAGUCCUGAACACGCCAUCUGGAAUUCCAGUCUGAGGUUACAAUUAGAACUCCUGACCCCAAAUUCAACUUUGCAAAGAAC
rfam:Monodelphis domestica cont3.017973, whole genome shotgun sequence.